GGUCCACCUUUGUCAGGUAUUCAUUUUCUCAGGCUAUAAAGUUCUGCAUUUCUCCGCCUCUUCCUCUCCUGGGCUCAGUAAGCAUGGUGGAAGCUCUCCACCCAAGCCUGGGGAGAGGUUAGAUUGGGUCUGGCCAGACUCUGACAUUAAUGAGAGCCAGAUGGCGUCUCUGCAAUCAGACAUUCCUCAGGCCUGCCUCACAGAAGUUCCCUGACCUUCAAACAGUUGCUCUGCAGCUACAGAGAGAUAACAACAUGAGCAGAAACCAGCCUUAUGGUUCUAGGGGAUGGUUGCCUGCUGCAAAAAUCCUACUCAGUGGGAACGGGGAGAGGCUGGCCAGCAUGCAGUGGCCCUCAGUGACCAGAAAACACGUUCAACAUCUGGAACGCUUUAACAGAGAAGAGUGUAAUGGCCAGCCACAUAGUCAUUGCUGUGCUCCAACAAUCAUCCUUAUUUAAGGAAGACAGUCUCGACAUCAUGUUCUCUUCUGCCUUUCUGAAAAUAUACAUUCUCUGUGGCCGUUGGAGUGCUUCCAGCCACUAAGUUGCAGAUGCUGCCAUGAAGCCAACCUGACUUCCCUGGGCAAACAACCUCACCAAUAUGUCCUGGAGCCCCACCUCUCUAGAGCUCAGCUCCACUAGGGAAAGACAGAAACAGGCUGUGAAUAUGGAUCAACCUGCCAACACACAUGUCCAGCAGAGAAGCAAUUAAAGAAGUCAGGCCUUCCAUCUUCUGCACCCCAUAAUGAUUCUGGGUCCACACUCCUAGAGGAAGCUCCAUCCAAUGGAGGGGAUGAGAUACAGAGUUCUGGUGGUGGGGAUUGUAUG